rnacentral:rRNA from 1 species
GACGAACGCUGGCGGCGUGCCUAAUACAUGCAAGUAGAACGCUGAAGCGAGGAGCUUGCUCUUCUUGGAUGAGUUGCGAACGGGUGAGUAACGCGUAGGUAACCUGCCUUGUAGCGGGGGAUAACUAUUGGAAACGAUAGCUAAUACCGCAUAACAAUGGAUGACCCAUGUCAUUUAUUUGAAAGGGGCAAAUGCUCCACUACAAGAUGGACCUGCGUUGUAUUAGCUAGUAGGUGAGGUAACGGCUCACCUAGGCGACGAUACAUAGCCGACCUGAGAGGGUGAUCGGCCACACUGGGACUGAGACACGGCCCAGACUCCUACGGGAGGCAGCAGUAGGGAAUCUUCGGCAAUGGGGGCAACCCUGACCGAGCAACGCCGCGGGAGGGAAGAAGGGUUUCGGAUCGUAAAGCUCUGUUGUAAGUCAAGAACGAGUGUGAGAGUGGAAAGUUCACAAUGUGACGGUAGCUUACCAGAAAGGGACGGCUAACUACGUG